rnacentral:rRNA from 1 species
AUUGAACGCUGGCGGCAGGCCUAACACAUGCAAGUCGAACGGUAACAGGAAGCAGCUUGCUGCUUUGCUGACGAGUGGCGGACGGGUGAGUAAUGUCUGGGAAACUGCCUGAUGGAGGGGGAUAACUACUGGAAACGGUAGCUAAUACCGCAUAACGUCGCAAGACCAAAGAGGGGGACCUUCGGGCCUCUUGCCAUCGGAUGUGCCCAGAUGGGAUUAGCUAGUAGGUGGGGUAACGGCUCACCUAGGCGACGAUCCCUAGCUGGUCUGAGAGGAUGACCAGCCACACUGGAACUGAGACACGGUCCAGACUCCUACGGGAGGCAGCAGUGGGGAAUAUUGCACAAUGGGCGAAAGCCUGAUGCAGCCAUGCCGCGUGUAUGAAGAAGGCCUUCGGGUUGUAAAGUACUUUCAGCGGGGAGGAAGGGAGUAAAGUUAAUACCUUUGCUUAUUGACGUUACCCGCAGAAGAAGCACCGGCUAACUCCGUG